UCCCUUGUAGCUCAGCUGGUAAAGAAUCUGCUUGCAAUGCAGGAGACCUGGGUUCAAUCCCUGGGUUGGGAA
rnacentral:tRNA from 1 species